UUUUUUUAUUAUUUUUCUUUUUGUUUUUAUAUCUGGUUAUUUGUAAAUACGAGUAUGUAUCUUUAAAAAUGAAAUGUAAAAUACAAUUUAUUGUCAAUCACUUCUCUAUUUUCACUUUUCAAUCACCGAUUACACAGAUUUUUGGUGUUUUACCUUAAUUUCUUGCAAAUCCACGAAACUAAAUUAUAAUCAUAGUGUUAUACUGUGAGUAUAAACCAGUCAUAGAGCUACACUAUGGUCUGGAAGCUGCGAAAAAAAAACAUUUUUGACCCCGACGUGAUUGCUUCCCCCACCAGAGCGGUCUGGGACUUUAAGGUCACUAUCAUGCAUAUUUUAUGAGAAAUUACCAUUCCGUAUAGGAAAGACUUACACUUAAUCUAAGAAAUUGACACACAAAUGUAUGUUUUUUUAACUCAACAAAUUAGACCUACGACAUUUUUUUUCAAUAUCUGGGCCACUCCAACUUAAAUGAUUUGUAGGAAACGAUCUAUAUUAUGAAUUCAAUUUUCAAACAAUAUGUAACCAACAGUUACAGUUUUAGAAGCUCACUUCCGGGGGUAUUUUAUGAACCAGUUUAUGACCAAAGCUUUUAACUUUAAAAUCACACUUCGCUUUACAAUAAUAAACAUAUUUUUCAAAUGCACUCGCAUUUCCUUCAUGGUCAACCACAUGCACCCCGUUACCCCGUAGUAUUUUGAAGCACUGAAGUGCGUUCUUUUAUUCGCCGAUGUUUACUAUUGUUAAGAAUAGUUAACUUUCAUCGUUCAAAAUGAGUUGAAUUGAAUUGAAUUCUUUAUUGAGACUUAAAAUUCUAUUACAAAGUGUGUUCUUAUCUAUAUCUUAAGUACUACUGCGGCUAUAAUGUUUUGCCUGCUUUGACAAUUUAUUUGAAAUGCCUCGUGGCUGUCUUUUAUAUAUGGUUUGACUACUCUUGCUCAUGGGAGUAUAAUAUUCGUUUGGAUUGACGGAGGGUCAUUUAACAAUAAAUAUAUACAUACAUACAAUAGACUACUACUAAAAUAAAACUAAAUAACGAAGACAAACAGAUGCCAGAAAUGUAUAUUUGAUGUCGUUCUGCAAGAGUUAGAGCGAGAGCGCACUAACAAUAUUAUUUUACUUCUCAUUUGGAAAAAAUUUACAUUGUAUUUGAUAUUGAAAGUGUGAGAAUGAGAUGGCAUUUUACAGAAAGUCGUUUUAUAAGUAAUAUUUCAUUUUCUCUUUUUAGAUGUAUCUUUUAUUAUUUUUUUUUUCUGUAUCUUUUAUUAUGCGAACACAUAUAACAUUCAGAUUUGAAUACAUAUAAUGACUAUAUAUACUAACAUGUAACAUAUGAGUUGAGCAUUUGGAUACGACUUUUUUUUUUUUUUUUUUUUUUAGUUUUUGUUGUUCUUUUAGAUUUUAUUAUUUAUAAUAAGAAAUUAUGAAUUCUUAAAGGAUAAACGUUUGUACCAAGGUAUUAUCACAGCAAUUUAACAUUUAAUCAGUCUUUCAUUCUGGCAAUAAGUGAUUAGAAUAAUACCAGGUAUGAUAUAUACUUAACAAUACGCUUAGACUAAAUCAGACCUUCAAGAAAUCAGCGCAAUUUUCGUAUACUGAGUGCGAACAGAGGAUAUGUGUUAAAUCAAAAGUAGUCUUAAAAUACAUAGAGAGAAAAAGUGAUUAGCCACGAUUUUGGCCCAAUGUGGCCUUGGCAUAAAACAAGGGAGUGGGUGUUAAUCAAGAAUCCAGGUUUAGAGAAAGAAUACCGAGUGGAGAUAAGUAACUAGUGCUAUCCCAGGAGGACCCUGACUGAGACUCGACGACUUGAUUAAUCAGGUCGUUUUCUACUAGUUCAAGAUUAUUAAUUGCUUUUUUCAUUAGAGAGAGGUUAUAGCUCAACAGCGGAAUGGUCUCGUUCAAAAUGAGAAAGAAGUUAAAUAUGAGUGCUGUCAAAUGAAAAGUUGACGUAUAUCAAACAAAUAAAUAAUAAAGAAACAAAAUCAAAUUGUAGUGAUUUUUAAAUUGAAUCGCGUUUAUGUGUUCUUUGCAUUAAAAAAGUGUUAAUGUUUAUCGAAUUAAGCAUAAAAUAUGAAAUUGUGCUGUAUAAUGGUGUUCAACUUGUUCCAGACUUCUUGGCAGUCUUUCGUAGUUUUAUUUUCUACUGAGAGAAUUCUCUUCCAACUCUCAUUAAUUUGACAGACUUCCUAAUUUAGUGCACAAAAAGUCUGGAACAGACCUAAUGUUAAUCUGUCAACACAACUAAAUGGGGAAGAGAGGGGAAGUUGUGAGAAGAGAAUUUUUUGUUUGUUUUCAUAUUUGAAAAUAUUUAAUACAUAAUUUUGUUUCAAUUUGCUUAGAAUUCAAUUCAAAAGAAUUAUUUCAGUACCAAAUUAAUUCUUUCUUGUUUAUUCAUUCAUAAAAUUGAUUUCAAAAUAUUAUGUUACAUUAGUCGUUCCUAAAUAAAAGUUUAAAUUUUCUAACAAAAUCUUACAAACACAACAACAACGAUUUUUUUUUGACACAGCAAACAAAGUUAAUUUUAUUCAAUUAAAGAACGGGCCACUGAGGUUUCAGAUUACUUCCAUUCUGGUCAGUGUAUCUACCUUAUAAGGUUCAAUGUACUACAUUCUGUGUAGUGCAUUGGAUACAUUUAUUUAUUUUAUUAUAUUUACAUCUGGAAAGGGACAUGCAUAUUGGUUAUUAAUUCGAUGACAUGGCAAGUAAGGUGCUUACAAGAUAAAAACUGUCUGCAUACUAUAUCCUUAAUGUAAUAAAAAUCUUGAAUACCCAAUAUUAAUUUUUUUUCUAAUAAGACCAUCCAUGAUUAUUGCUAUCACGAUUCUCAAUUUCAAAUUAUAAAGUGUUUUUUAUUUUUAAUGGAAAAUUAUUUUAGGGAACUCAGAUUAUCUUGCUUUUAGUUCUAUGAGAUUCAGCAUCGAAAAAUAUCCUAAAGUGCCGUAACCUAUGAAUAUUUUUUUACCGACUUCCAAAAAGGAAAAACUUAAUAAUUUCGUCAAAAAAUCGGAAAAAAAUGAGAAAAAAUUACUUUUUAUAUUUUAAAGUUGAAUAACUUCGAAACGCGGGGGUAAAUCAAAAAAAUUAUUAAGAGUUUUUUGUAGAGCGGACAAUUUUAUAAAAAUGAUUUUGUCAAGCCUUUUGGAUAAAAUAUUAAAAAGAUAAAAAAUUCUAAACACAAAUACACAAUCUUUCCCAUACAAAUCGUAUGGGAAAUAGAAAUUUGCGAUGCGGCGGUACUAAAUGUUAACAUUAAGGGCUGAAACUUUUACAGUAUUUUUUUUUCGUCAUUUCCAACAAUAUUUUCGAUACCUAAUGCUUUGAACAAAAAAAAAAUUUUUUUUUGAAUCAGUCUAAUGUAGAUAGAAUAUGGACACAGCCAUUAUCUGGAUCUGUUGGUUGAUAAUGUUGAUUUGGAUGUAUAGGAUUAAAAAUUCUUGCAGAGCCUAGUGAGCUAAUUUCAAAAUAAAGUUGACUUAAAUAAGGAUGAUACUUAGAAAAAACUAUACUAUAUAAUUGAAUUUUCUUUCAUAAUACGAAACAAUUAAGUUCAAAACGGAUAAUUGUUUGCCUUCUGACCGUCAAAUGCACUUGAAAACGCAUACUUUGAGUACAUAGUGUGGCAACAUUGGUCCAUAAAAAAACAUUCAUAAACCAGCCAUUUUGGUAAAAGCUAAAGCCAGAACCAUUAUAAUGGUUUCCGCCUAUUUUUAACUUUGAAAUCGAUUAUUUCGAAAACCAUUGGUUAUAAUGUAUUGAUUUAAAAAUUAGAAUUAAUGUUCGCCUUUCGCAAAUGGUAUCAUUUAUUACUGUAUGUUGUCGUUUUUUAAUAAUUUUUUUUGUUUUGAUUAUUUUUUUUUAGAAAACUGCCCCUCCCACCUAAACGGGGGGAGAUAGACCCCCCUCCCAAAAAAAAAAAUGUUUGUAUUAAACUCCUCUACAAAAACCCGUUAUCAAAUCCUGGCUAAAGUUAUCCUACUACGUGCCAAAACAACAUUUUUGUUCUAUACCUAAAAGUUCGUUGUUUUUUAAUAAUUUUUUUUGUUUUGAUUAUUUUUUUUUAGAAAACUGCCCCUCCCACCUAAACGGGGGGAGAUAGACCCCUCCCAAAGAAAAAAAUGUUUGUAUUAAACCCCUCUACAAAAACCCGUUAUCAAAUCCUGGCUAAAGUUAUCCUACUACGUGCCAAAACAACAUUUUUGUUCUAUACCUAAAAGUUCGUUGUUUUUUAAUAAUUUUUUUUGUUUUGAUUAUUUUUUUUUAGAAAACUGCCCCUCCCACCUAAACGGGGGGAGAUAGACCCUCCUCCCAAAGAAAAAAAUGUUUGUAUUAAACUUCUCUACAAAAACCCGUUAUAAAAUCCUGGCUAAAGAUAUCCUACUACGUGCCAAAACAACAUUUUUGUUCUAUACCUAAAAGUUCGAAUUUCUGUCGGCCCUAGCGAGGUAUUCUGUCGGAGCGGAUUUUUUCCGAUUUUCUACGAAUCGGAGACUUUGCUUCGAGGUAUUUCUCCGAUCAGUUGAUCGGAAAUUUUCUCCGACAAAUUUCAACGCAUGCAAUUGCAUGCGAUGAAGUACUUCAAUUGGUUGUUUUCUUGACAGAUACAAAUAAUUUUUUUUCCGAAGCCCUCCGACAAGUUUUUGUUGCGGAAUAAAUAAUUAAAAUGCAAAACGAAAAAAAAAAACAAACGUAUACAAAAAGAUCACCCAAAAUUUUGGCUGUAUUGGGAAGAUCUGUUAAAUUAAAUUGGACCACGACAAAGUGAUGUUGGUGGAUGGAAAAAAGGAUGUUCGUAACUAUUACAUAAGUCCAACAUAAAAUAAAACUAUGGAUAAACAAAAAAGAAAUCGCGGGCACUGGCGGGCGGAGGGCCUUACAGGCAAAAGUUUUUCACAAAUAAAUUUUCUUUCACUUUUUCAAAUCCUCCUUUUUUCUUGAGUUUUUUAUUUGUUUGGACUCGGCCUCAAAAGUAACGCGACACUUGCCAUGUACACUUUAAUUUUCUUAAAUAAAUAACUUCAACCAUUGAAUAAUUACAAAUAGAAGUGACACCGCAGAUUACUCAUGCGACAACAACGUACCGGAAGAUAGAUGAACUACAUGUUUGCGCCUCAACUAUCAUGUAUUUUCGAGUUGAGUCUUAACUUAUAAUUUUUUUUAAAACUUCAUAAAAAAAUUAAUAAUUAUUAUUAUACAUUCCAAAGAGCUUAUAUUGAUAUAAGUUUUCGUAUAUUGAAAAGUCAUAUUAGUCUAGAGAACAAGGACGAUGCUUUUUACUCCUACUGGCCUAGGCCUAGCUAGGUUCGAAUACCGGUAAAAAUUGAAAUUUGUUU